UUCGGCAUUUUAUUUUGAUAGUGCAUCUAAAUUGAAUAGUUUAAAUUAGGUAAAAUGCCGAGAAAUCUAAAUUGAGAUACAGUAGGUAUACGAUAUUGUGACAAAUAAGGAUGAGGAGGAUAUCUGAUCACCAGGUUCCUCGAGAAUUUUGUGAAAUGUAAGUGGUAGAAUUUCCUGUACACAUCGUUACUACUUGUACUCAACACUCAUCAUUCACACUCAUGCCCUUAACACUCGACAUUGUGAACCGCAAUGGACCGCGCUCAUGAAGAGCAUGAGGCGAUGGUCAGUGUACACACCAGACCGCACUCAUGAGGAACAUGAGGCGAUGGCUCUAUGCACACACUCACACUCGGACCGCACACAUGAGAACCAUGUGGUGAUGGGUCUGCACAAACUCGCAUUGAGACCGCACCCGUGAAGAACAUGGCUGUUGGGUCUUUACUCACAAGCACAUACUCACACUUACAUCAUGUACACACACUCACGUACAUGUAGGUACUUAAAAAAAAUAUGCCGACGAAUUAAAGUUAAACUGACAUAAUUCAGAUAAAGUAGUUCAAAUAGCAGAUACCUUAGAGGGUAGAUUAUUAGAGUAGUUGAAGGUAGUAGAACCUGUGUUUGAGUUUGCAAGGUGAUCGUAGUUUAAAAGAUGUUUGUUAAUGAGGGUUUCAGUGGAAACCAUGGAGUCUAGCAGAGACUCGGUGUUCCCAUGUGGGGUUCACGUGAGAGAGAAUAACUGUAUGGUACUGAACUGUGCGUAGCCGUGAUCACUUGUAAAGCUUGAAUGCUUUGAGUUACUUGGUAGAAUCAUUAUUUUGCGAGUAACUAUGUUUGCGAGAUAUCAGUUUCACCGGUUUUGAUAUUGAUUUGUUUCGAUACAUAGUGACGAGUUAAGUAACAUUUUUAAGAGGAUGAUGGUUCAAGUUUUAGAAGGUCACGCAUCAGCCGAGAUUGGUUUUGAUGAAGUUAAUGAAGCUCGGUAGAAACUCGGGUAAGGGGACUCUAGAAGCCAUUAUGUGUUUGUGCUGUCUCUAUUCGUUUGUUGUAUGUUUGUGUCCGAUCACCUCAGUAGCGGUCGCGUAUUCGCAACCCGGUCACAAACGGAAUCUCCGAGUGUCGCCUCGAGAGUCCGUUCGGUGCGCGGUACGAGUUUGGCUCUGACGGGGGUCGGCGGCUGUCUGUGUUCGGUAUGUUUGUGUUCGAUCACCUCAGUAGCGGUCACGUACUCGCAACCCGGUCACAAACGGAAUCUCCGAGUGUCGCCUCGAGAGUCCGUUCGGUGCGCGAUACGAGUUUGGCUCUGACGGGGGUCGGCGGUUGUAUGUGUUCGUUUUGUGUCGGGGUCUGUAGAGGCCAUGCGUGUGGUUGCCGGAGGGUGACCCACGGGAGAUCCGAGGGAUCUGAUCCAUGUGAUGGAUGUCAGCAAUGUGAUUGCUGGUCGGCUUGAGAGCCGGGGCACUGGGUGACUUGCUCGUGGACUCGAGUAAGGGCAUGCUAGGGGCCAUGUGAUGGAAGUCAGCAAUGUGAUUGCUGGUCGGCUAGAGAGCCGGGGCGCACUAGAUGUCUUACUCGGGAGUUUCUAGAGUUGUACUGAGUAGUUUGUAAUUUUUGUUGAAAAGAACGGCUGUGAUGCGUGAGCCUAACAGUUUGAUGCUUUUGUAAUUGUGUGUGGAAUGUGGUCAGGAAUGACCGAGCUAUAUGAUACUUUGCGUGUAAUUUUCUGUCACAGAUGAGCUGUCACACGAGGACGUGUGCAAGCAGGAUGGCCGUGUCGGGAUCGAGGGUAGAAUUGAAACACAGGCGUCCACCCUCGGCGCUCGACGGAGUCAAGAAUUCGUCGGCUGAGCGGCGUGUCGAUCACUUCUCGUGCAGCAGCCGACCAGUGCGGUCGAAUAUUGAACCGUCGUGUGUUUCAACUGUAUACCUAGUCUGUAACCUGUUAGUUUGAUAUUGUAACAGUUAAUUAUCUUUCAUGUACUUUGUAACCAUGUUUGCACUUUGAGAGUGACUGAGACCUCUGAGUUUGUUUCGGCAUUUCUUCUCAGAGUAGUCGGUAGGAAAUGCCGGCCCCAUCAGUAGCUUAAGUAAAGUAACAGUGCAAUGUACAGAAUUAAACAAUAGUUCCAUA